GUGUAUUUUACUAAUUACUUGCGUCUAGCUGAAGUUAAAAAUAUGCGGGUUCAUUGUUACCUUUUACGUCAAUGUCUUUAGCUUCAUUUAAAAAUUAUGCACAAAAACUUAUUUGUAAUAUUUUGCGACCACAAAAUACAGCUACGUCAUGAUGUAAUAAUUUUUAGCGGAGUUUAGAACAGUUGGUUUUCAUUCGUUUACGUGUUUGUAUGAUUUUAUCAAUUCAUCAAUAGGUAGGUAAGUCAUUUAGACUGUUCCCUUUACGUGAGGCAAAUAACGCCCGUAUUCACAAAUGAUAAGUGAAGCAGCAAAUUGAACGCACAGCGUUGAUUACAGCUCUCUGAUUGGUUCGUAUGUGACCCUGCGCGUCCACGUGCACUGUGAGACCUCAUAGUAAUGUUUGUGAAUACGGGUGUAAGGGUUUUGGCCUAUACUCCCUCAAUGGUCAGACGGGUUGAGGAAGCCUAACGUUUGCAUACUUAUUUCUCCUUUAGUUGUCUCUUACGACAUCCACGGGAAGAAUGGUGGACUUACUACUCUACUCUGCCAGAACCACACAGCAAUUUGAUUCCCGAGUCGCGAUUUUGCGGCAAUUUUCGCCCUUAAUGAGGGCUAUCGUUUUAGCGCUCACCAGUUGGCGCCACUGUAGAGUAAGGUCCUGUCACUUGCUAGUAGCGAAGACAGUGGCGCCAGCUGGUGAGCGCUAAAGUGAUAGGAGGACUAUUGCAUUUGCGCUCAUCAAGAUGGCGCCACUGUAGAGUAAGGUCCUGUCAAUCGCCAGGGGUACCAACUGUUAAGUAUAAAAACGAUAGCCCUCAUUGCCAUGUUUUUGGGCUUCUUUUUCCUUCACUCCAAAUAGUUUCUUUAUCCAGUUUUAAGCCAAUAACUAAGCUCUCAUUAGCACGCGGACCGCGCGCGGCGCAGCUGGCAGUAAUGUCUUCAUGGGAUCCUGGGAUUUAUAGCACACACCCAAUACACCGUUUGGAAUCUGGAAGAGCUUUAUACACAUACAGUUUCACAGAUAACGGACCGUGUAUGAGGCGAUGUAAAUUAUGAUUUUGUAAAUUUUUUCUUCCUCCAUAGUCCGCGUCUCAAUUUUGAAUAGGAAAUAAUAAAAUAAGUAUUAUCAAUAUGGUAAAAAUCGACUCAAAGACGUCA